UAAAACAUGAUUUGUAACUGUAAUAAUGCGUAAUAUUAGAAUACAUAAUCUCUGUUUUUUCUUUCUAGGUAAAGCCUUGAAUCAGUCAACAUAUCAUUUAAUUGCUCGUCUCUGCCCCUAUCCACUGUUUUGUAUCUCAUGAAAGAAAACUAAAUACGGACUCUUCUGUAGCUUUCUAUUCCUCAACACUCAUUCAUAUUUCCCCAUCCUCCGCCAGAUAACAAUAUAUGCAAUCCUUUUUGGGAUUCGUCGGAACUGCUUAAAGCUCUUGAACUCGGAGGAAAGAGGGGAGAAGGUGAAAGUUAAAAGCAACUUCUUCUUUGUGUCGAAAUUUCAGCAAUAAUCAUAAAAGCUGAUUCAAUGUUCUGGAUAGAAAUCAAGGGAGUGUAUCUAUCUACCUACUCGAAUAAUCACUGAAUAAUCACUAGGCAAUCAAAGUGUGUGAAUUUUCUUGAAUGUCUUCUGGUUUCUUGGAGGUCCAUUUCAUGUCUUUGUGAAUGGAACGGCUACUCAUUAAAAAGGGACCUAACUAUGCUCCACAAAGAAAGAAAUUUGCACUUAUUUCGGGAUAUGGCAUAGAUAUAUAAAAUAUGCUUGAUAAGGAAGUUGCUUACUGAGAAUACAAGGGAGGUUAGUGUUAAGAGGCUUUUAGUUUCACUGACUGUAAGGAUUGCCAACUACUGCUCAUGCUGGUUGGAAGAGGAAGAUGGAGGCAAGUGAUGAGGAGUGG